rnacentral:rRNA from 1 species
GACGAACGCUGGCGGCGUGCCUAAUACAUGCAAGUCGAACGCUUCUUUCCUCCCGAGUGCUUGCACUCAAUUGGAAAGAGGAGUGGCGGACGGGUGAGUAACACGUGGGUAACCUACCCAUCAGAGGGGGAUAACACUUGGAAACAGGUGCUAAUACCGCAUAACAGUUUAUGCCGCAUGGCAUAAGAGUGAAAGGCGCUUUCGGGUGUCGUUGAUGGAUGGACCCGCGGUGCAUUAGCUAGUUGGUGAGGUAACGGCUCACCAAGGCCACGAUGCAUAGCCGACCUGAGAGGGUGAUCGGCCACACUGGGACUGAGACACGGCCCAGACUCCUACGGGAGGCAGCAGUAGGGAAUCUUCGGCAAUGGACGAAAGUCUGACCGAGCAACGCCGCGUGAGUGAAGAAGGUUUUCGGAUCGUAAAACUCUGUUGUUAGAGAAGAACAAGGACGCUAGUAACUGAACGUCCCCUGACGGUAUCUAACCAGAAAGCCACGGCUAACUACGUG